rnacentral:rRNA from 1 species
AUUGAACGCUGGCGGCAUGCCUUACACAUGCAAGUCGAACGGCAGCACGGACUUCGGUCUGGUGGCGAGUGGCGAACGGGUGAGUAAUGUAUCGGAACGUACCUUUCAGUGGGGGAUAACGUAGCGAAAGUUACGCUAAUACCGCAUAUUCUGUGAGCAGGAAAGCAGGGGAUCGAAAGACCUUGCGCUGAUUGAGCGGCCGAUAUCAGAUUAGCUAGUUGGUGGGGUAAAGGCCUACCAAGGCGACGAUCUGUAGCGGGUCUGAGAGGAUGAUCCGCCACACUGGAACUGAGACACGGUCCAGACGCCUACGGGAGGCAGCAGUGGGGAAUUUUGGACAAUGGGGGCAACCCUGAUCCAGCCAUGCCGCGUGAGUGAAGAAGGCCUUCGGGUUGUAAAGCUCUUUCGGCCGGGAAGAAAUCGCAUAGGCUAAUACCCUGUGUGGAUGACGGUACCGGAAUAAGAAGCACCGGCUAACUACGUG